UACGGAGGGGGGCUAGCGUUGUUCGGAAUUACUGGGCGUAAAGCGUACGUAGGCGGCUUUGUAAGUUAGAGGUGAAAGCCCGGGGCUCAACCCCGGAAUUGCCUUUAAGACUGCAUCGCUUGAAUCAUGGAGAGGUGAGUGGAAUUCCGAGUGUAGAGGUGAAAUUCGUAGAUAUUCGGAAGAACACCAGUGGCGAAGGCGACUCACUGGACAUGUAUUGACGCUGAGGUACGAAAGCGUGGGGAGCAAACAGG
rnacentral:rRNA from 1 species